GACAGAGGUGCCAAGCGUUAGGCGGAAUCACUGGGCUUAAAGCGUGUGUAGGCGGAAUGGUAAGUACCUUGUGAAAUCCCACAGCUCAACUGUGGAACUGCUCGGUAUACUGCUUUUCUUGAGCCACUUAGGGGCUGUCGGAACAAACGGUGGAGCGGUGAAAUGCGUAGAUAUCAGGAGGAACACCGGUGGCGAAGGCGGGUCUCUGGGCCGAUACUGACGCUGAGGAGCGAAAGCAUGGGUAGCGAACAGG
rnacentral:rRNA from 1 species